rnacentral:rRNA from 1 species
AUUCCAGCUCCAAUAGCGUAUAUUAAAGUUGUUGCAGUUAAAAAGCUCGUAGUUGAAUUUUGGACCUGGUUGAAUGGUCCCGCCGCAAGGUGGGUACUGUUUGAUUGGGUCUUUCUUUGCGGGGAAUUAGUGUGCUCUUAAUUGGGUGCAUUAAGGAUCCGUAACUUUUACUUUGAAAAAAUUAGAGUGUUUAAAGCAGGCUUAGGCCUGAAUACAUUAGCAUGGAAUAAUAGAAUAGGACGUUUGGUUCUAUUUUGUUGGUUUCUAGGACCAUCGUAAUGAUUAAUAGGGACGGUCGGGGGCAUCAGUAUUCAAUUGUCAGAGGUGAAAUUCUUGGAUUUAUUGAAGACUAACUACUGCGAAAGCAUUUGCCAAGGACGUUUUCAUCA